UCCGAUUUGGUGAGGUAAAGGCUCACCAAGGCGACGAUCUGUAGCUGGUCUGAGAGGACGACCAGCCACACUGGAACUGAGACACGGUCCAGACUCCUACGGGAGGCAGCAGUGGGGAAUUUUGGACAAUGGGCGCAAGCCUGAUCCAGCAAUGCCGCGUGCAGGAUGAAGGCCUUCGGGUUGUAAACUGCUUUUGUACGGAGCGAAAAGGUUCUCUCUAAUAAAGAGGGCUCAUGACGGUACCGUAAGAAUAAGCACCGGCUAACUACGUGCCAGCAGCCGCGGUAAUACGUAGGGUGCGAGCGUUAAUCGGAAUUACUGGGCGUAAAGCGUGCGCAGGCGGUGAUGUAAGACAGAUGUGAAAUCCCCGGGCUCAACCUGGGACCUGCAUUUGUGACUGCAUUGCUAGAGUACGGUAGAGGGGGAUGGAAUUCCGCGUGUAGCAGUGAAAUGUGUAGAUAUGCGGAGGAACACCGAUGGCGAAGGCAAUCCCCUGGACCUGUACUGACGCUCAUGCACGAAAGCGUGGGGAGCAAACAGGAUUAGAUACCCUGGUAGUCCACGCCCUAAACGAUGUCAACUGGUUGUUGGGUCUUUGCUGACUCAGUAACGAAGCUAACGCGUGAAGUGACCGC
rnacentral:rRNA from 1 species